rnacentral:rRNA from 1 species
GACGAACGCUGGCGGCGUGCCUAAUACAUGCAAGUUGAGCGCUGAAGGUUGGUACUUGUACCAACUGGAUGAGCCGCGAACGGGUGAGUAACGCGUGGGGAAUCUGCCUUUGAGCGGGGGACAACAUUUGGAAACGAAUGCUAAUACCGCAUAAAAACUUUAAACACAAGUUUUAAGUUUGAAAGAUGCAAUUGCAUCACUCAAAGAUGAUCCCGCGUUGUAUUAGCUAGUUGGUGAGGUAAAGGCUCACCAAGGCGAUGAUACAUAGCCGACCUGAGAGGGUGAUCGGCCACAUUGGGACUGAGACACGGCCCAAACUCCUACGGGAGGCAGCAGUAGGGAAUCUUCGGCAAUGGACGAAAGUCUGACCGAGCAACGCCGCGUGAGUGAAGAAGGUUUUCGGAUCGUAAAACUCUGUUGGUAGAGAAGAACGUUUGUGAGAGUGGAAAGCUCAUCAAGUGACGGUAACUACCCAGAAAGGGACGGCUAACUACGUG